rnacentral:rRNA from 1 species
UACGUAGGGGGCAAGCGUUAUCCGGAAUUACUGGGUGUAAAGGGUGCGUAGACGGUAAUGUAAGUCUGGAGUGAAAGGCGGGGGCCCAACCCCCGGACUGCUCUGGAAACUAUGUUACUAGAGUGCAGGAGAGGUAAGCGGAAUUCCUAGUGUAGCGGUGAAAUGCGUAGAUAUUAGGAGGAACACCAGUGGCGAAGGCGGCUUACUGGACUGUAACUGACGUUGAGGCUCGAAAGCGUGGGGAGCAAACAGG